ACAUUUUGAUAAAAACGUAAGUUUUCCAAUGAUCCAUGAUCCAAUAAAGUCUACGUCUGGAAAACUUAUGAUGCCUUGUCCUUGUGUACUCUUGGACUUUUUCUACCGAUUCUUCGUCAUUUCUUUUUAUUCACCCAAUAGAAAUUAUUUAGAUAGAUGUUUAAAUUGGCAAAUGGACAAAAAAACUAGAAAACUAACAGCAAAACAUAAAAAUCAAUUAAAAAAUACAACCAUAAUAUCAUUUUGCUAUUAUUUAUGUACUAUAUCAUAUUGUCAGAUCAUCAAUAAUUAAGUACUGUACUUUUUAUAGUUAUUAUCUACUCAUAUUAAUAACAAGAAACUAAAUAUAAUUUAUGUAAUUAUUAAAAUGUAGAGGAAUUUGGUCUAUUAUGUAUUAGAUAGGUAUUUAAUAUACUUCAUCAUUGGGUAGAUACUUAGAUAUAUAAUGAAUGUAAAUAUGUAAUCAAUUUGAAUUUAAUUUUAAACCACCGCUUAGGUAUCAAAAAUGAUUCUAAGUUAAGACGUUUAGGAGUCAAAUUACACCCAUUAGAUAAGUACUAUUUAAUAUAUUUUACUAAAGAAUACGUAUUAACUAAUAAGAAUAAGUCAUAGGAUUUUAUUUUUCUAUUAGACUUGAGUGUGGUAGGUUUAACUUAUUUUUGGCAACAAUAUAUAACAUACAUUAUGAUUAUUUCAUUAAUAAUUAUAUUAAGAUACUUAAUUAUUAUUUUAUUUAAUAUUAAUGUAUGGAUACAUAUAACUGUAUAGUAUGGAGAUGUUCAAAACCACAUACCUAUGUAUAUUAUAUUUAUAUGUAAACAUAAUGUAGAAAAGUAUGACUGUGUGAUCUAUGAAUACCUAGGUUCAUUCAAUUAGUGGUUUAAAACUUUAAAAUCAAUAUUAUUGUAUAAAAAAUAUUGAAAUGUCUCUACAAUAAUGGUAAAUAAAUUAUAACAAUGAAAUAAAUAAAAUCUUUAUUUUCAUUGAAAAUUCAAUUUUAAAAUAUGAACUUAUAAAAAAAUUGUAACGAUAUACUUUUUAACUGUCAUAAAAACCACUUAGGUUAACAUAAUAUAUGUUGUACAGUAAAUUUUCAAGUUUUUUCACCAAGUUAAAUAACUUAUUGAAAAAAAAAACAAAAAAAAUACAUUUCAAGUACCUAAAAUUGUUUAUAAAUAAAUUAAAAUUAGUAGAAAUAUUUUGAAAUAUCAAUAUUUAGAAAAAUGAUAAUUAAGAUAAUAGUAAAAUGUUUCAAGUUUUAAUGAUUUUUUUUUUAAUUGUAAUAAAAAAAAAAAGUUACUUCUACAUGGGGAAAAAAAUUUCUAGAUCUUACUUUGUAGAAUUUAUAUGAAGAACGCCUGUAGAGGAACGACAUGCAUUUGAAACUAUCUUAAAAUAUAUUUCUGAGUUCUGGCCUCAUUUCUAAUUAUAAUAAUAUAUAUUAUGUAUAUAUUAUACCUACCUAUGCAGUAUAUAUUUAUGUAUAAUUUUUAAAUUUACAAUUAUAAUACAUUUUAUUAAUAACAUAUAAUUUAUUUAUUUAUUA